rnacentral:rRNA from 1 species
ACUCAAAGGAAUAGACGGGGGCCCGCACAAGCGGUGGAGCAUGUGGUUCAAUUCGAAGCAACGCGCAGAACCUUACCAGCUCUUGACAUGCCUAGGACCGGUCGCAGAGAUGUGACUUUCUCUUCGGAGCCUAGGACACAGGUGCUGCAUGGCUGUCGUCAGCUCGUGUCGUGAGAUGUUGGGUUAAGUCCCGCAACGAGCGCAACCCUCGGCCUUAGUUGCCAUCAUUUAGUUGGGCACUCUAAGGCGACUGCCGGUGAUAAGCCGGAGGAAGGUGGGGAUGACGUCAAGUCCUCAUGGCCCUUACGGGCUGGGCUACACACGUGCUACAAUGGCGGUGACAGAGGGAUGCAAUAGGGCAACCUUUCGCAAAUCUCGAAAAACCGUCUCAGUUCGGAUUGGGGUCUGCAACUCGACCCCAUGAAGUUGGAAUCGCUAGUAAUCGCGGAUCAGCACGCCGCGGUGAAUACGUUCCCGGGCCUUGUACACACCGCCCGU